AUUGAACGCUGGCGGCAGGCUUAACACAUGCAAGUCGAGCGGGGAAGGGUAGCUUGCUACCUAACCUAGCGGCGGACGGGUGAGUAAUGCUUAGGAAUCUGCCAUUUAGUGGGGGACAACAUUCCGAAAGGAAUGCUAAUACCGCAUACGUCCUACGGGAGAAAGCAGGGGAUCUUCGGACCUUGCGCUAAAUGAUGAGCCUAAGUCGGAUUAGCUAGUUGGUGGGGUAAAGGCCUACCAAGGCGACGAUCUGUAGCGGGUCUGAGAGGAUGAUCCGCCAGACGGGGACGGAGACACGGCCCAGACUCCUACGGAAGGCAGCAGUGGGGAAUAUUGGACAAUGGGCGGAAGCCUGAUCCAGCCAUGCCGCGUGUGUGAAGAAGGCCUUAUGGUUGUAAAGCACUUUAAGCGAGGAGGAGGCUACUUAGAUUAAUACUCUAGGAUAGUGGACGUUACUCGCAGAAUAAGCACCGGCUAACUCUGUGCCAGCCGCCGCGGUAA
rnacentral:rRNA from 1 species